CAAGGCAUAAUUUAAAUAGAAUGUUGGCUUUGGGGGUCAUCAGUAGAGGUUAAAGUCCUUUUGCCUUGA
rnacentral:tRNA from 1 species